GACGAACGCUGGCGGCGUGCUUAACACAUGCAAGUCGAACGGAAAGGCCCUGCUUUUGUGGGGUGCUCGAGUGGCGAACGGGUGAGUAACACGUGAGUAACCUGCCCUUGACUUUGGGAUAACUUCAGGAAACUGGGGCUAAUACCGGAUAGGAGCUCCUGCUGCAUGGUGGGGGUUGGAAAGUUUCGGCGGUUAGGGAUGGACUCGCGGCUUAUCAGCUUGUUGGUGGGGUAGUGGCUUACCAAGGCUUUGACGGGUAGCCGGCCUGAGAGGGUUACCGGCCACAUUGGGACUGAGAUACGGCCCAGACUCCUACGGGAGGCAGCAGUGGGGAAUAUUGCACAAUGGGCGGAAGCCUGAUGCAGCAACGCCGCGUGCGGGAUGACGGCCUUCGGGUUGUAAACCGCUUUCGCCUGUGACGAAGCGUGAGUGACGGUAAUGGGUAAAGAAGCACCGGCUAACUACGUG
rnacentral:rRNA from 1 species